AUGCUGGAUCAGUCCGGCCACAAGAACAGUGUCUCUUUAACAAAAAUGACUGUUAAAAGUGGAUGUAUGCCUGGCAGAAUGAUCAAAGAACAUCUCAUUUCUUUCAUGAGGGCGACCGGACAUAUACCUGGGAGGAUCAUAUUUUACAGGGAUGUUGUAAGCAAAGAAAAGCUCAAUCAGGUUCUUGAGCAUGAACUUUCUGCCAUUAAAAAGGCAUGUGCUUCGGUCGAUCCAAUUUACAAUCCACAAGUUACCAUUAUUAUGGUUCAGAGACGUCAUCACACACGUUUGUUUUCUGGUAACUAUGGCACUGGGAGCACAGUUUUCCGAAGUGGAAAUGUAUUGCCUGGUACUGUGGUUGAUAACGAAAUAUGCCAUCCCACCGACUUUGAUUUUUACCUGUGUAGCCAUGCUGGCACUAAGGGAGUUAGCCGGCCUGUACGUUAUCAUGUUCUGUGGGACGAGAAUAGCUUUACGGCUAAUGCUAUCCAAUCUCUCACAAACCAUCUAUGCUACACGUACGCGAGGUGCACCUCCUCUGUUUCUGUAGUGCCUCCGGUCUACUACGCCCAUCUUUUGGCAUCCCGCGCUUGGCUUUAUAUCAAACCAGGGGAUACGGGUGAGCUGUAA
rnacentral:rRNA from 1 species